UACGGAGGGUGCGAGCGUUGUCCGGAAUCAUUGGGCGUAAAGGGCGCGUAGGUGGCUUCUUAAGCGUGCGGUGAAAGCCUGGGGCUCAACCCCGGGUCGGCCGUGCGAACUGGGGGGCUGGAGCACUGUAGAGGCAGGCGGAAUUCCUGGUGUAGCGGUGAAAUGCGCAGAUAUCAGGAGGAACACCGGUGGCGAAGGCGGGUCUCUGGGCCGAUACUGACGCUGAGGAGCGAAAGCGUGGGGAGCGAACAGG
rnacentral:rRNA from 1 species